rnacentral:rRNA from 1 species
UGAAUACGAGAUGCUACGGCGUCGAAGCAGUCUAUGUCAUACUUCCAAGAAAAGCUCGCACUGUCAUAAACAAAUAAUGCCUGUACCAUAACCGACACAGGUGGGUAGGUAGAGUAUACUAAGGGGCGCGAGAUAACUCUCUCUAAGGAACUCGGCAAUAUGACUCCGUAACUUCGGGAGAAGGAGUGCCUUAUUUAUAAGGUUGCAAUAACAAGAUCCAAGCAACUGUUUAUCAAAAACACAGGUCUCCGCUAAGUCGUAAGACGAUGUAUGGGGGCUGACGCCUGCCCAGUGCCAGAAGGUUAAAGAAGUUGGUUAGCAUUCGCGAAGCUGAUAACUGAAGCCCUGGUGAACGGCGGCCGUAACUAUAACGGUCCUAAGGUAGCGAAAUUCCUUGUCGGGUAAGUUCCGGCCCGCACGAAAGGCGUAAUGAUUUGGAUACUGUCUCGGAGAGGGGCUCGGUGAAAUAGACUUGUCUGUGAAGAUGCGGACUACCUGCACCAGGACAGAAAGACCCUAUGAAGCUUUACUGUAACUUGAGAUUGAAAUUGGACUUUACUUGCGCAGUAUAGGUGGGAGGCGUUGAUAAUAUUCUUGCGGGAUUAUUUGAGCCAUCAGUGAGAUACCACUCUUGUAAUGUUAGAUUUCUAACUUUGUAUCAUUAUCUGGUCAAAGGACAGUUUCAGGCGGGCAGUUUGACUGGGGCGGUCGCCUCCUAAACGGUAACGGAGGCGCACAAAGGUUUCCUCUGAACGGGUAGAAAUCGUAUCUAGAGUGUAAAGGCAUAAGGAAGCUUGACUGUGAGACCUACAAGUCGAGCAGGGACGAAAGUCGGUCUUAGUGAUCUGACGGUGCUGAGUGGAAAGGCCGUCACUCAACGGAUAAAAGUUACUCUAGGAUAACAGGCUGAUCUCCCCCAAGAGUUCACAUCGACGGGGAGGUUUGGCACCUCGAUGUCGGCUCAUCGCAUCCUGGGGCGGUAGUACGUCCCAAGGGUUGGGCUGUUCGCCCAUGAAAGCGGUACGCGAGCUGGGUUCAGGACGUCGUGAGACAGUUCGGUCCAUAUCCGGUGUAGGCGUUAGAAUAUUGAGAGGAGCCUUCUUUAGUACGAGAGGACCGAGAAGGACAUACCUCUGGUGUACCAGUUAUCGUGCCAACGGUAAACGCUGGGUAGCUAUGUAUGGAGUGGAUAACCGCUGAAAGCAUCUAAGUGGGAAGCCCACCUCAAGAUAAGUAUUCUCAU